GAUGAACGCUGGCGGCGUGCCUAAUACAUGCAAGUCGAGCGAACGGACGAGAAGCUUGCUUUUCUGAUGUUAGCGGCGGACGGGUGAGUAACACGUGGAUAACCUACCUAUAAGACUGGGAUAACUUCGGGAAACCGGAGCUAAUACCGGAUAAUAUUUUGAACCGCAUGGUUCAAAAGUGAAAGACGGUCUUGCUGUCACUUAUAGAUGGAUCCGCGCUGCAUUAGCUAGUUGGUAAGGUAACGGCUUACCAAGGCAACGAUGCAUGGCCGACCUGAGAGGGUGAUCGGCCACACUGGAACUGAGACACGGUCCAGACUCCUACGGGAGGCAGCAGUGGGGAAUCUUCCGCAAUGGGCGAAAGCCUGACGGAGCAACGCCGCGUGAGUGAUGAAGGUCUUCGGAUCGUAAAACUCUGUUAUUAGGGAAGAACAUAUGUGUAAGUAACUGUGCACAUCUUGACGGUACCUAAUCAGAAAGCCACGGCUAACUACGUG
rnacentral:rRNA from 1 species